ACGUAUUCGUGACGUCGAGUAGGUCACCGUGGUAUAUUCACAUACCCAAAUUGAGCAACGUAUGAGAAGUUAUUGACGUAUGUUUGUGUAUGUGCAUAUUAAAUAAUGUUUUAUAAUUAUUUUUGUAUAGGUGAAAAUUAUACGGACGAAGAACGUAACCAAAAUAGGCGAGGGGGUUACGAACCGGCUACUUAUCAGUGAGUGGGCAGUUAUUUUUCAGUAUAUAUAUAAGUAUACUUGACGUGUUUCCUAGAAAACGUAUAUUAAAUAUAAAUACGAAUUAAAUAACUUGUCAAAUAUGCAUUAUAUUUUGAUAUGUGCAUUACCAUAAUUAUACAUAUUGUUGGAUGGUGCUGAGGAGGCCCAGGUACGUUACAUGUGACAUAUUAUGUUGAAAAUGAAUGAAAUACUAUGGAAAUACGAUUAAGAUACGUUUGAAUAUUAUUGAAAUACAAUUGACAUACGUAUUAGAUACAUUUUAUAUACAUUUGAAAUACGUAUAAAAAUACAUAUAAUAUACAUUUGAAAUACGUACGAUAUGCAUUUGAUAUACGUAUAAUAUACAAUUGAAAUACGCAUGAAACGUGAUUGAGAUAUGUAUGAAAUAUGAUUGAGAUAUGUAUGAAAUGUUAUUGAGAUAUAUUUGAGAUAUGUUUGAGAUAUAAUUGUGACAUGAUUCGAGAUAUAAUUGUGAUACGUUUGAGAUACUAUCCUGAUAACGAUCAUGAGAUAUAGUUGAGAUAUGUUGAGUUAUAUGAUUGAGAUGUGAUAGAAAGCUCAUUUACUUGCACACGUAUAUAAGUGCUCCCGCCUAGAGAGAGGCAUAGCCUUCACGUGUAUGUUCACCUCCCACACCGCAUGCUCGCCUUGGAUCCAAGUAGGUGUAUAGCCUGUCGUAUAGACCACUUAUGUGGGUUUGACUUGUAGGUGACCCGCGAUUUAUCGCACAGCUUCACGUGAUUGUAGCACUAGAGCAUAUUAUGAUAUAUACAGUGAUGAGAUGCAGACCACGUGAGGUGGUACUGAAUGUGUACAAGAUAUACAGAUUUAUACAUGAUAUGAUGAGAUGAUUAUGAGCUAUAUAGGCAGCCGAGGGCUGAGUUAAUUAUGAUAAGUUGAUUAUGAUGAAAGAAUACGAAUUAUGUUGAUAGUUGAGCGUUGAAUUGGCUUUUAUGUUAUUCUAUCAUAUUCACUUAGAAAUGUUGAGCAUUCUAUUAUGAUACUUUGGCAUGGCAUACGUUCAUAUUAUUCAGCAUGAUUUGAUAUAUAUUAUGUAUAUGAAUAUAUACUUUAUUACUGGGAAACUUAUACUUGUUUUACAGCGAGGGGUUAGUAUAUUCAAAAGAGAAAAGAAGGUUUCGAAUAAGUUCGUUUUGCUGACCCACUCAACUUUGUUUUGCGCCCCUCCAGGUUUUAGAUAACGUUCAUCAGUGAAUCUCGAGGUGUCCAGCUGAAAGUUCUGACAAAUCACCACUCAUGUAGGAUCAUCGUCGAGUGUUGUUAAAUACGUACAUUUUAUGUUUGACUGCACUUAGACUUUAUGCUCUGGUUAUGUAAUCACACUUAAACUCAAAUUAGAACCUAUCGUAUUUGGUUUUAAUUUAUUCGUAUUUUCCUUAUAAUUUAACGCUUCCGCACAGCGCACAUGGCUACGUCACGUUCACGUGACGGCCAGCAUUCCUUGACUACGGUCGGGGCGUGUCAUAAGUCAUAAAGCCAUGCAAGUGGAAAUAGGUUGGUGUGAAUAAAGCCAUGCAAGUGGUGUGUGUGUAAGAGAAGUACUUCUUACACACCCAUCACCAUUUCUAUCACCUUUCAAAAAUUUCAAUAAAUGUUUUGUUGAUAGAUAAGUCACACCCACCAACACAAAACAAAGACUAUAUGAAAUUAACCAAAACUUUGAAUCAAAACACCAAACCUUUUUGUUCUUGGUAAGAACAUCAAGAACAAUGAAGAACAUCCAUGAAAACCCGUAAGAGCUCCAUGAAUGUUUUCAAGCAAUAAAACUCAAAUUUUCACUACUCAAAAUGGGGUUAACAUCCUAGGGUACUUAGGGGUUCCAAAAGUCACUUUAAAACACUUUUAACAAGACAAACAUGAACCCAAAAAAUCACCCUUUGGAUUUGGCCGAAAAUCCCCAAAAAACAUGGCACCAAAUUUUAGCUCCAAAAUUCAUGCUCAUAUGAACUACAUCUACAACAUUUGAGAUGACAAAUUUUCUAACAAAAUUUACAUUCAAAGAAGCAAGAAUAAAGCUUGUAACAAUUACAACAUUCAAAUCAUAAACUAUGAGCUACAAAACCCAAAAGGAUUCACCAACUACUAGACCUAGGCUCUGAUACCACUUGAAGGAAAUUUUGUGAAAAACAUGUUCAUUUAAGCAACAUCUAUAGCAUGCAAUUAACAAAUUAAAGGCGGAAUCAUGCUUGUAUGCACUUAAAAACAAAACAUUAACCAUGAAAUUCAAAGCCUAGUAGUUGGGUGAACCAAGACUCAACUCAAAACAAAGUGAAAAUUUUAUACCUUUGUUGAUUCCUCUUUGCAUAAGCAAAGGAUAAUCACCCAAGAGAUAGGGCCUUCAUUCCUUGCUUAGAUCCAUGGAUUUGGAUGGAAGAAUAGGUUUCUCCAAGUUCUCAAAAAUUGAGAACCUCUAAGUCUCCACACCAAGGUAAG
rnacentral:lncRNA from 1 species